GUGUAGCAGCCGCGGUAACACGUAGGAGGCGAACGUUAUCCGGAAUUAUUGGGCGUAAAGAGCUCGUAGGCGGUUUGUCGCGUCUGCUGUGAAAUCCCGAGGCUCAACCUCGGGUCUGCAGUGGGUACGGGCAGACUAGAGUGCGGUAGGGGAGGUUGGAAUUCCUGGUGUAGCGGUGGAAUGCGCAGAUAUCAGGAGGAACACCGAUGGCGAAGGCAGAUCUCUGGGCCGUAACUGACGCUGAGGAGCGAAAGGGUGGGGAGCAAACAGGCUUAGAUACCCUGGUAGUCCACCCCGUAAACGUUGGGAACUAGUUGUGGGGUCCAUUCCACGGAUUCCGUGACGCAGCUAACGCAUUAAGUUCCCCGCCUGGGGAGUACGGCCGCAAGGCUAAAACUCAAAUGAAUUGACGG
rnacentral:rRNA from 1 species